GCAACUCAAAGGGUGCAUCUCUGGCCCGGAGCGCGGCUUCAGCCUCUCUCAUAACCGGGCAAGGUCAUCGCGGAGCCCUGGUGGAAGGUGCUGCUGGCCAGGGAGGGUCGGGAGCCACGCCUGCACCAGUGGCACCGCGUCUACCUGCUGGUAGAGGACAUGAAGCACCGGCCCAAAGAGAACCUGGAGCUCAUCCUCACGCAGUUGGUAGGGGAGCUUGGAGUCGGGGUGACUUGGUUUCAGUGAAGAAAUCUGUGGGCCGUAACAAGCUUCUUUCUCAAGGACUGGCUGUAUAUGCAUCCCCUGAAAACAGGAAGUUGUUUGAAGAGGAGAAAUUGCUAAGACAAGGAGGC